UACGAAGGGGGCUAGCGUUGUUCGGAAUUACUGGGCGUAAAGCGCGCGCAGGCGGCUAUCCAAGUCAGUGGUGAAAGCCCGGAGCUCAACUCCGGAACUGCCAUUGAAACUGUUUAGCUUGAGGAUGAGAGAGGUGAGUGGAAUUCCCAGUUUAGAGGUGAAAUUCGUAGAUAUUGGGAAGAACACCGGUGGCGAAGGCGGCUCACUGGCUCAUUACUGACGCUCAGGCGCGAUAGCGUGGGGAUCAAACAGG
rnacentral:rRNA from 1 species